GAUGAACGCUGGCGGCGUGCCUAAUACAUGCCAGUCGAGCGAACAGACGAGGAGCUUGCUCCUCUGACGUUAGCGGCGGACGGGUGAGUAACACGUGGAUAACCUACCUAUAAGACUGGGAUAACUUCGGGAAACCGGAGCUAAUACCGGAUAAUAUAUUGAACCGCAUGGUUCAAUAGUGAAAGACGGUUUUGCUGUCACUUAUAGAUGGAUCCGCGCCGCAUUAGCUAGCUGGUAAGGUAACGGCUUACCAAGGCAACGAUGCGUAGCCGACCUGAGAGGGUGAUCGGCCACACUGGAACUGAGACACGGUCCAGACUCCUACGGGAGGCAGCAGUAGGGAAUCUUCCGCAAUGGGCGAAAGCUUGACGGAGCAACGCCGCGUGAGUGAUGAAGGUCUUCGGAUCGUAAAACUCUGUUAUUAGGGAAGAACAAAUGUGUAAGUAACUAUGCACGUCUUGACGGUACCUAAUCAGAAAGCCACGGCUAACUACGUG
rnacentral:rRNA from 1 species